AUUCCAGCUCCAAUAGCGUAUAUUAAAGUUGUUGCAGUUAAAAAGCUCGUAGUUGGAUUUCUGUUUCUGGGAUCUGGUCCGCCUCACGGUGAGCACUGGAUAACUGGGGACAUCCUCUCGAAGGCGGCGGGUGCACUUGAUUGUGUGUUUGUUGAAUUCGGGACCUUUACUUUGAAAAAAUUAGAGUGUUCAAAGCAGGCGUCGGCUUGAAUACAUUAGCAUGGAAUAAUGGAAUAGGACUUUGGUUCUAUUUUGUUGGUUUCUAGGACCGAAGUAAUGAUUAAUAGGGACAGUUGGGGGCAUUAGUAUUUAAUUGUCAGAGGUGAAAUUCUUGGAUUUAUGAAAGACUAACUACUGCGAAAGCAUUUGCCAAGGAUGUUUUCAUCA
rnacentral:rRNA from 1 species